UCUUCACGCCGCGCGCUUCGCCGCGCUUUGCCUGGCGCUGUGUAGGCCUAGGCCUAUGUGUUGAAAAUGAGGCUCCAAGUCUACCUCAGUUGCUUAGUCAACUUCUUUACAGCGUUUUCGCUCAUCUUUUGCCCUUCCUUGAUGACGUGUGGAUGGUUAAUAUCGGUGGCAUGGUGUUUCUGGAUUGCUGUAACGCUGCUUAUCGCUUCGGUGAUUUCUCUGUUGAUGUUUCGGCUUCAGCGACCGAACGACAGGCAGAUUGAGGCUUUUUUCGGGAACGACUGGCCCAGUGUUAGCAUUUGUCACAGGGGUGGUGCUGCAGAAGCCCCCGAAAACACAACAUUUGCCUUCAGAGAGGCCAACAAGAACGGAUCAAAAUUUGUAGAGUUUGAUGUUGGACUCACCAAAGAUGGAGUACCAGUCCUCCUUCAUGAUGACUCAGUGGAUCGUACCACUAAUGGGACAGGAGCACUUAAGAACUUAACACUAGCUGAGGUGUUGAAGCUAAAUGCUGCUGCAAAACAUCCCCUCAGAGAGAAGUUUCCACAAGCCAGCAUCCCUACCCUGGAAGAGGCUACUGUCGAAUGUUUGAGCCUUGGAUUGAACAUUUUCUUUGAUGUAAAGGAUUGGUCCACAGAGAUGGUGAAUGCCAUAACUGAGCUCUUCCAGCGGCACAGUGAACUGUACGAGAGAGGGAUGGUGUGCUCUUUCUUCCCACUGCUCCCCUACAAGGUGCGCCGGCAGGAUCCAGCUAUCCUGACCGCUCUUACAACCUGCACCAACCUGAUACAGUUUGAGUUUGGUUGUGACAUGACUGGUCCCCUCUGGAAGCGUAGCCUGUGUAUCCUGGGUGAUUACCUGCUACUGUGGAGCCAGUCUGCGUGGCUCUGGAUUCUUUGUGGCAAUGCUGCCACCUUGCUUGACAAGAAGAUUGUAACAGAUAUCUCAGGUACUUGUGAAACACCACCUGAAGAGUCAUGUCAUCCACAAAGAUGUCAGUGACUAACUGUGUCAGAGCAUCUGAAAGGCCACCAAGGCUGGCAUCUCGAGCGGAGUUCAGAGCUCGCCGCAUGUCAAGUCUCACGGUCCACAUUUUCUCGGACGCAAGCCAACAACAAGUUGUGGUGCUUUGACAACGCAAUGUGGUGGCAAUCCGGGACACAUAUCGACAAAAGACCUAACAGUUCUCUGUUACAGACGAAGAAACGACCCACAAAAUAAGCAUCGACUGCACAAACAUACAAACACAAACCCCAAGUAAUAGAAACAAACAGUUGA